ACGGGUGAGUAAUGCCUAGGAAUCUGCCUAGUAGUGGGGGACAACGUUUCGAAAGGAACGCUAAUACCGCAUACGUCCUACGGGAGAAAGUGGGGGAUCUUCGGACCUCACGCUAUUAGAUGAGCCUAGGUCGGAUUAGUUAGUUGGUAGGGUAAAGGCCUACCAAGGCGACGAUCCGUAACUGGUCUGAGAGGAUGAUCAGUCACACUGGAACUGAGACACGGUCCAGACUCCUACGGGAGGCAGCAGUGGGGAAUAUUGGACAAUGGGCGAAAGCCUGAUCCAGCCAUGCCGCGUGUGUGAAGAAGGCCCUCGGGUCGUAAAGCACUUUAAGUUGGGAGGAAGGGCUUACAGCGAAUACCUGUGAGUUUUGACGUUACCGACAGAAUAAGCACCGGCUAACUUCGUGCCAGCAGCCGCGGUAAUACGAAGGGUGCAAGCGUUAAUCGGAAUUACUGGGCGUAAAGCGCGCGUAGGUGGCUUGAUAAGUUGGAUGUGAAAUCCCCGGGCUCAACCUGGGAACUGCAUCCAAAACUGUCUGGCUAGAGUGUGGUAGAGGGUAGUGGAAUUUCCAGUGUAGCGGU
rnacentral:rRNA from 1 species